AUGCCGCGUGUAUGAAGAAGGCCUUCGGGUUGUAAAGUACUUUCAGUUGUGAGGAAGGGGGUAGUGUUAAUAGCGCUAUCUCUUGACGUUAGCAACAGAAGAAGCACCGGCUAACUCCGUGCCAGCAGCCGCGGUAAUACGGAGGGUGCGAGCGUUAAUCGGAAUUACUGGGCGUAAAGCGCAUGCAGGUGGUUCAUUAAGUCAGAUGUGAAAGCCCGGGGCUCAACCUCGGAACUGCAUUUGAAACUGGUGAACUAGAGUACUGUAGAGGGGGGUAGAAUUUCAGGUGUAGCGGUGAAAUGCGUAGAGAUCUGAAGGAAUACCAGUGGCGAAGGCGGCCCCCUGGACAGAUACUGACACUCAGAUGCGAAAGCGUGGGGAGCAAACAGGAUUAGAUACCCUGGUAGUCCACGCCGUAAACGAUGUCUACUUGGAGGUUGUGGCCUUGAGCCGUGGCUUUCGGAGCUAACGCGUUAAGUAGACCGCCUGGGGAGUACGGUCGCAAGAUUAAAACUCAAAUGAAUUGACGGGGGCCCGCACAAGCGGUGGAGCAUGUGGUUUAAUUCGAUGCAACGCGAAGAACCUUACCUACUCUUGACAUCCAGAGAAGCCAGCGGAGACGCAGGUGUGCCUUCGGGAGCUCUGAGACAGGUGCUGCAUGGCUGUCGUCAGCUCGUGUUGUGAAAUGUUGGGUUAAGUCCCGCAACGAGCGCAACCCUUAUCCUUGUUUGCCAGCGAGUAAUGUCGGGAACUCCAGGGAGACUGCCGGUGAUAAACCGGAGGAAGGUGGGGACGACGUCAAGUCAUCAUGGCCCUUACGAGUAGGGCUACACACGUGCUACAAUGGCGCAUACAGAGGGCAGCAAGCUAGCGAUAGUGAGCGAAUCCCAAAAAGUGCGUCGUAGUCCGGAUUGGAGUCUGCAACUCGACUCCAUGAAGUCGGAAUCGCUAGUAAUCGUAGAUCAGAAUGCUACGGUGAAUACGUUCCCGGGCCUUGUACACACCGCCCGUCACACCAUGGGAGUGGGCUGCAAAAGAAGUGGGUAGUUUAACCUUUCGGGGAGGACGCUCACCACUUUG
rnacentral:rRNA from 1 species